UACGAAGGUGGCAAGCGUUUGUUCGGAUUUACUGGGCGUACAGGGAGCGUAGGCGGUUGGGUAAGCCCUUCGUGAAAUCUCCGGGCCUAACCCGGAAAGUGCGGAGGGGACUGCUCGGCUAGGGGAUGGGAGAGGAGCGCGGAAUUCCCGGUGUAGCGGUGAAAAUGCGUAGAGAUCGGGAGGAACACCGGGUGGCGAAGGCGGCUACCUGGACCGGUUCUGACGCUGAUGCGCGAAAGCGUGGGGGAGCAAACAGG
rnacentral:rRNA from 1 species